CCUACGGGCGGCAGCAGUGGGGAAUAUUGGGCAAUGGGCGCAAGCCUGAUCCAGCAACGCCGCGUGAAGGAAGAAGGCUUUCGGGUUGUAAACUUCUUUUCUCAGGGACGCAGAAAGUGACGGUACCUGAGGAAUAAGCCACGGCUAACUACGUGCCAGCAGCCGCGGUAAUACGUAGGUGGCAAGCGUUAUCCGGAUUUAUUGGGUGUAAAGGGCGUGUAGGCGGGAGCGCAAGUCAGAUGUGAAAACUCAGGGCUCAACCCUGAGCCUGCAUUUGAAACUGUGUUUCUUGAGUGAUGGAGAGGCAAUCGGAAUGCCGUGUGUAGCGGUGAAAUGCGUAGAUAUACGGAGGAACACCAGUGGCGAAGGCGGAUUGCUGGACAGUAACUGACGCUGAGGCGCGAAAGCGUGGGGAGCAAACAGGAUUAGAUACCCGAGUAGUC
rnacentral:rRNA from 1 species